AUUGAACGCUGGCGGCAGGCCUAACACAUGCAAGUCGAGCGAGCGGCGGACGGGUGAGUAAUGUCUGGGAAACUGCCUGAUGGAGGGGGAUCACUACUGGAAACGGUAGCUAAUACCGCAUACCAUCAGAUGUGCCCAGAUGGGAUUAGCUAGUAGGGGGGGUAACGGCGCACCUAGGCGACGAUCCCUAGCUGGUCUGAGUGGAUGACCAGCCACACUGUAACUAAUACACGGUCCAGACUGCGACGGGAGGCAGCCGUGGGGAAUAGUGCACAAUGGGGUCAAGCGUGAUGCAGCCAUGCCGCGUGGGUGAAGAAGGCCUUCGGGUUUUAAAGCACUUUCAGCGGGGAGGCGUUAGCCGCAGAAGAAGCACCGGCUAACACCGUGCCAGCAGCCGCGGUAAUUC
rnacentral:rRNA from 1 species